AAGACGUCAGCACUGUGAGAAAAUAAAUGUGUGUUGUUUGAGCCACCCAGUUGGUUGUUUGAGAGACCCAGUUGCCAUAAGAAAAUCCAGUUUUGUCAUGGCAACCCUAUAGGACUCAUACAGCCCCUAUCGGGUAACAGCUCCAUUUUACAAGUAAAUGUAGAAACAGAUACAGAAGAGAGACUCAGGGAAUGUAUAAUAACCUGUCCAAGGUCAAAAAGUAGACAGAAGAAUUUUCAGCAGACUGGAUGGCUACAAGAUCAGUCUCAAGGGUUGGCAGUGAAUUGGUUGAAUAUUGAGCCUCCAGUGCAUAAAUGGGACCAGAGGGCUUCUAACCACCUCCCAUGCUGUCACUUUGCAACCUUGAAGCAAUGCCUUCCCAGGCGCCAGAGGGCAGGAUGUCUUAUCUGCAGGUGGCAGGGCUAUUCACAUCUAGCUCUUAGACCCAGGGCUUUGCCCCUGAGGGCGUGUUUCUGGCUGAGUUUUCUAUUGCUUACUCUUCCCCUCCUCCCCAAACCUUGUGUCAUUCUUUUACUUCUGGUAAUAGCAAAUACAUUAAACAAUGAACUUGAUAUGUUUAUA